rnacentral:rRNA from 1 species
GUCCGAUUAGCUAGUUGGUGGGGUAAAGGCCUACCAAGGCGACGAUCGGUAGCUGGUCUGAGAGGACGACCAGCCACACUGGGACUGAGACACGGACCAGACUCCUACGGGAGGCAGCAGUGGGGAAUAUUGGACAAUGGGGGCAACCCUGAUCCAGCAAUGCCGCGUGUGUGAAGAAGGCCUUCGGGUUGUAAACGCACUUUCGGUGGGGACAAACAAGACGGAGCUAAUAUCUCCGUGGAUGACGGUACCGUAAGAAGAAGCACCGGCUAACUACGUGCCAGCAGCCGCGGUAAUACGUAGGGUGCGAGCGUUAAUCGGAAUUACUGGGCGUAAAGUGUGCGCAGGCGGCCCGCAAGUCGAGUGUGAAAACCCCGGGCUUAACUUGGGAAUUGCGCUCGAAACUACGUGGCUGGAGUGUGGCAGAGGAAGGUGGAAUUCCACGUGUAGCGGUGAAAUGCGUAGAGAUGUGGAGGAACACCAAUGGCGAAGGCAGCCUUCUGG